GAGGGUAAAAUUAAGAGCAUAUGGCGGAUGCCUUGACUUAAAGAGGCGAUGAAGGGCGUGGCGUGACUGCGAUAAGCUUCGGGGAGGUGUCUAGCAACCUUUGAUCCGGAGAUUUCCGAAUGGGGAAACCCAAUCGCGUAAACCGCGAUUACCCCGAUUUUAAAUCGGGGAGCGUACCCGCUGAAGUAAAACAUUUCAGUAAGCGGAGGAAAAGAAAAAAAUUUUAUUCCCUUAGUAGCGGCGAGCGAAAAGGGAAAAGCCCAAACCAAUGCUUCGCAUCGGAAGCGUCAAUAACCAAGAUACAAUAACCAAACAAUAUUCAAUAAAUAUUUAAAUUUCAAUAUUCAAAAAAUUUGACUAUUGAUUAAUUAAGUAUUUGAAUUUAUUUGGUUAUUGUUUCUUGUGAUUUUGAGCUUCCACUGCGGAGCAGUGGGGUUGUAAGACAGAAAAAACUUUCGCUAAUCGUUCGUCCGCCUAAAUUUUAGGAUGGCGAAUGAUUCGCGGAAAAAUGGUUACAAAUUGUUUUGUUAAUUGAAAGGUUCUGGAAAGGCCUACCAAAGAAGGUAAUAGUCCUGUAAAUGAAAAUAAAACAACCAUUUUUUCUGUUCUUGAGUACCUCGACAAAUGAAAGCGUCGGGGGAAACAGGGAGAACUAACUCCCAAGGCUAAAUACUCUUUAAGAUCGAUAGUGAACUAGUACCGUGAGGGAAAGGUGAAAAGCAGGCCGGUGAGGCCGUUGAAAUAGUACCUGAAACCAUAUGCUUACAAGGACUCGGAACACUUCGUUUCACUUCGUGUUCCUCGCAAUUUUCAAUUUUAAAUUUUAAAUUUUCAAAUAAUUUUUAAUGAUUUAAUUUUCAAACAUUAAGAAAUUUAGACAUUGGGAUUUGUUUAGAAAUUAGAAAUUAAAAAUUAUAAAUUGGGGCACGAAGCGAAGCGGAGUGCGACGGGGUGCCUAUUGAAGAAUGAGCCAACGAGUUUACGCGCGUUGCCCGGCUAAAUCCUUAACGGAUGGAGUCAAAGGGAAACCGAGUGUGAAUAGCGCGAAACCGUUCGUGCCUCACUUUUGUUCGACACGAAAUUUUCAAUUUUCAAUUUUCAGUAAAUUUUCAAUGAUUGAAUUUUCAAUUUUAUUUUAAAAUUAGGAAUUUGGUUAUCGGAAUUUUAUUAGAAAUUAUAAAUUAAAAAUUAGAAAUUUCCCGUGGCGAGCGUAAGCGAGGCGCGAGCGAACGUAGCGCGCGUAAGACCCGAAGCCAAGUGAGCUUGCCAUGGCCAGGGUGAAGUCCGAUGACCGUCGGACGGAGGCCCGAACCGGUUGGCCGUGCAAUACCAUCGGAUGAGCUGUGGUAAGAAGUGAAAAGCUAAUCGAACUUGGUAAUAGCUGGUUCUCUCCGAAAUAGCUUUAGGGCUAGCGUUUCGUUUUAGUCUCCCGGGGUAGAGCUCUGGAUGAUUUGAAUAGGGCGAAAGCUCGUCAAAUCAAUCAAACUUCGAAUACGGGAGAUGUCAGCGAAGCAGUCAGAAAGUGGGGGCUAAGCUCCAUUUUCAAAAGGGAAACAGCCCAAAUCUCCAUCUAAGGUCUCUAAAUUUUUGCUGAGUGCACCAAAGGUUGUAUUUAUUCUUAAACAGCGAGGAGGUUGGCUUAGAAGCAGCCACCCUUUAAAGAGUGCGUAACAGCUCACUCGUCAAGAAGAUUUGCGCCGAAGAUAAUCGAGGCUAAGCAAAAUACCGAAGGUGAGGAGCAAGUUUUGCUACGCAAAACGUGCUGGUAGGAGAGCAUUCUUAUUGCUGAGAAGUUUACGCCGCGAGGCGGAAUGGAGCGGUAAGAAGAGAAAAUGUUGGCACAAGUAACCGCAAUCCCGAUGAGAAUUCGGGACGCCUAAAGUCUAAGGUUUCCUUGGCAAUGGUAAUCAUCCAAGGGUUAGUCGGUCCUAAGGCAAUGACAAAAGUCGCAGCCGAUGGACAUACGGUUAAUAUUCCGUAACCGUCUAAAUGUGCCCCGUAAGACAAAAUUGAAAGAUAUUCGAUUUUGCCUUACGGGGUAGGCGAUGGGGUGACAAAGAAUUGUAAAUAUGGCAUAUUAUUGGAUUUGUGUUCGCAAUAUGAGUUGGCUUUCCAGGAAAAUCCGGAAAGCGAAAAUACGCAAGUAUUUAAACUUCAAGUAUUGUGAAAACCCGGCGAUUUUCAAAGGGAAUCAUGUUGAGCAUUCUUUCGAGAAAAACCUCUAAGCUUUAUAUUUAGAUGUCCGUACCGUAAACCGACACAGGUAGACGGGUGGAGAACACCAAGGCGAACGAGUGAAUCCUUCCCAAGGAACUCGGCAAAAAAGCGACCGUAACUUCGGAAUAAGGUCUGCCCGACCGCGCCUCAUUGCAUUCGGCACGAAAUUUUCAAUUUACAAUUUUCAAUUUUCAAUAAAUUUUCAAUGACUUAAUUUUCAAACAGUUUAGAAAUUUAUUAGAAAUUAGAAAUUCCGCCCGAGCGCAGCGAGGUGCGGCUGGGCCGCAGCGAAAGUACCCCUGGCGACUGUUUAUCAAAAACACAGCUCCCUGCGAACUCGUAAGAGGAUGUAUAGGGGG
rfam:Candidatus Tagabacteria bacterium RIFCSPLOWO2_01_FTLL_39_11 rifcsplowo2_01_scaffold_24994, whole genome shotgun sequence.